GCUGCGCCGCUGCCGCCGGCCCCGCUGCCCGCCGAGCUGCGCCGACGGCUGCAGGACUUGGAUCGGGAUGAGGAGAGCCUGGGAGAGAAGGAGAGCGUCCAGGAGCAGCUGAGCCUCAUCCAUGGGUUCCUGCAGGCCGAGGUGCAGCUGCAGCUCAGCGAGCUCGAGGCCAAGCUGCGCCGGGAGGAGCUGU